rnacentral:lncRNA from 10 species
CUUAUACCAUGGCUUAAUGUAAUCAAGAGUCAGUGGUAUUUGAUCGUUUCAGAAUUGUUUAUUCUUACGUCUUUGGUCUGAACUGAAACCAUGGCAACGGUUGAUCCCGAAACAUAGUUAUGCAAGGGAGUACAGCUGGCAGAACAGAAAAUGUGCUUGAAAGAGAAGAAAACACAGUCUUUCUAAGUGGGUGCAUCUCAAAGUGGUCCUCCUGGUUUUGCUUAUUUGUAUAGCACCCUGGUCUUCAUUUUAUCCAAUUGCUCAAGUGACCCAUAGGACAAUUGAUAAUUUUGACAGAUGCAGGGAUUACACUGAUUCAACUUCCCUCCCCCAACCAUGCUCUGUAAUCGGAAUUCCAACAAUUCUCAAAAAACACAGGCACCUGUGCUUUCAAACUAAAUUUGCUCACUGUAUGGCCUGUGACUCCUGCGUGCAGCUGCCAACUCUGAGGCCCUAUCGCAGCUGGCAGCACUCUCUUUCUGGGUCAGCAUCCAGUUUUAGGAGGCUGAAGUGGCUUUUAUUACAGUGAAAUGAUAUGAAUGAUAACAGAAGCCCUGCAGGUGGGUAUCAGAUUCCUUUUUUUUUCCUCUUCCUAAAAAAACUCCUCUGAAGGCGUCAGGUCCUACAUAGCUGACACUAUCUGUAGCUCACCUACAAACUUAAUGGGUAAACCACACCUGGAGUGGAGAUUUUCAUGUAAAUAAAAAUUAUUUAACCCUUUGUAUGUUCCCAUUCUCCUCCACUACUUAUUUUUAUAUGCAGGCGUGAACAAAAUUUCAUAGCCCUUAGAAGCAAAAUCGCAAACAGUAGCAUAUGGAUUGAGAUUAUGAACAUUUCAUUUUCAGAUAAGAGAAGUUUUACUAGGGGAAUAUAAAAGGAACAGCUAAAAUGUGUUCCACAUUUUAUCUUACAUACUAUAAAUAGAUAACGUGGAUAUCAUCAAACCAUAUCAUUUAUUUUAUUCAUAAAUAUAUUUAUUAAGCACCUGUUAUGUGCCAGGCAAAGUACUUGAUACAGGGAGUAAAUAAAUCCUUUCCUUCAUGGAAUUUUUCAAGGAAAAAAUAUGUCUUAAACUUCAAAGUGGGCUGGGCACGGUGGCUCAUGCUUGCAAAAUGAGGCUGAGGUGGGCGAAUUGCUUGAGGUCAGGAGUUCGAGACCAGCCUGGCCAAGAUAGCGAAACCCUGUCUCUACAAACAAACCCCCGUUUCUAAAAAUUAGCUGGGCGUGGUUGCAUGCACCUGUAAUCCCAGUUACUUGGGAGGCAGAGGCAGGAGAAUCGCUUGAACCUGGGAGGCAGAAGGUGCAGUGAGCUGAGAUAGCACCACUGAACUCCAGCCUGGGUGACAAAGUGAAACUCUGUCUCAAAAAAAAAAAAAAAAAAUCAAAGUGUAUUGGAGAUGUGAAUAUGUAAACUCUUUCUCAUGAUACCAACAAUACGUAAAACAUUCAAACAUGUUAGAAGUUUUUCUCACAUCGUGAACCACAUCACAUUUCUUUUUUUUCUCUCUUUCUUUCUUUUUUUUUUUUUUUUUUGAGACGGAGUCUUCCUCUGUCACCCAGGCUGGAGUGCACUGGGCGUGACCUCGGCUCACUGCAACCUCCGCGUCCCAAGUUCAAGUGAUUCUCCUGCCUCAGCCUCCUGAGUAGCUGGGAUAACAGGCAUGCACCACCAUGCCUGGCUAAUUUUUGUAUUUUUAGUAGAGACGGGGUUUCACCACGUUGGCCAGGCUGGUCUCAAAUUCCUGAUCUCAGGUGAUCUGCCCGCUGUGGCCUCCCAAAGUGCUGGGAUUACAGGCGUGAGCCACUGCACCCGACCAUAUAUAUAUAUAUAUAUUUUUUUUUUUUUUUUUUUGAGACAGUCUUUUUCUGUCAUCCAGGCUGGAGUGCAGUGGUGUGAUCUCGGCUCACUGCAACCUCUGCCUCUGGGGUUCAAGUGAUUCUCCUGCCUCAGCCUUCCAAGU